CGACACAGCCCUCAGUUGCAAGCCCGAGCCGAGCACUGCGUUAGUCACUGGGGCUUAGCAACUGGAGCUGCGUUUAAAUACCGAGACUCAGACUUUGCACAGAGCAGAAGAGCAGCUGGUUCCGUCUGCGGGGAGCAGGACAGCUUAGAGAAGACUAGAAAACACAUCAGCAAAGACGGGACAUUGCACUCUCCUGGUGCAAAAGAAGCAGAUAAGAAGUGCCAAGAACUUAUGAAGAAGUUGUUGCAGAUGGCACAGUCUAGAGAAGAAGAAGAGUGGGUCAAGAGAUGAAGAUAGAUGGCUGAAGCCAAAUUCUCUAAACGGCCACAGGUUUGGUCCCACCACCCAGAGGCCCCAGGCAUAGGGAGCUGUAUCUGACCCUGACGUCUGACUGCGGCCACCUUAAUAAUCCAACGUGACAACUCUUCAAGUUAUUGAUAUGAUGGAAAAUGGAAAAAAUAUGCAUUUUUAAAUGUCAAAUUAUCCUGUCGAUUUGAAAUGCCAAUGUUCUAUAAUAAGUUUUGUUUAGAAGAUAUUUCAGAAUGUUAAAGAAGUGCUUCUAGAAGUGCAGGAUGGUAUGGCUGUAAUUGUAUUAUUUUGCUACUUAAUGGCCUAGAACUGAGGAUACAGUGCAUGUUUCAGUUUACUUUCUUAAAAUGGUAAUAGAUUAUAUAAAUUAACAUGGUAUAUGCUUUUUAUUCAUUUAUGGGAAGCCAAAAGUGAAGAAGUCACACAAUCUGAGUUUCAUAGGCAGAACAUUCAUAUUUAGUUAUUUUGCUCUAUUUACAAUGGAUUUUUAAAAACUGUAAUUCACAUGAGUGCCAUCAUAUUAGGAUACAAGAAAUUGUUCAGAUUGUUUCCUGUUUCCAGCUUCUGUACUGGGGAAUAAAACACUGUGUUACAAAUGCAUAGUGUGAAUAAUGUGUGUGGUCAUUCAUGUUUCCAAUUAUUUUUAUUGUACAAAUGAAUUUAUUAUAGGGCAAUGGAAAAUGCAAUAAUUUGAUAUAUUUGGUAUUUAAAUAUGCAUGCUUUGUAUCUAGUAUAUGUUUAUAGACAAUAUGUUUGUACAAGUGUAUCUAGCAUGUUAGAUGGGUUUAUUAAUCUUGGAAUUACCGUGUAGUAAAAGCAUUAUUUCUCUAGUCUCUCUAUUGUUUAAUGGAAAUGACAAGUAGAUCAGACAUUUGGAGAUGAAUGAAGCAGCACCAAGAACAGUUCCCCUGGAAAAAAAACUCAAUAAACAUCUACAGUUGUAAAUCUAACCACUUUUCUUGGCAAAACAACAUUGAAGAACUGUUACAGAAUUAUAAAAUGUUGCAAAGCAGCCUUUUUAGGAUUGAACAAGAAUUUUUCCCUGUUCUGUUAAAUAAAGACGGCUGAUCACAAA